UUAAGCAUAUCAAUAAGCGGAGGAAAAGAAACCAACAGGGAUUGCCCUAGUAACGGCGAGUGAAGCGGCAACAGCUCAAAUUUGAAAUCUGGCUCUUUCAGGGUCCGAGUUGUAAUUUGCAGAGGGCGCUUUGGCUUUGGCAGCGGUCCAAGUUCCUUGGAACAGGACGUCACAGAGGGUGAGAAUCCCGUACGUGGUCGCUAGCUAUUGCCGUGUAAAGCCCCUUCGACGAGUCGAGUUGUUUGGGAAUGCAGCUCUAAAUGGGAGGUAAAUUUCUUCUAAAGCUAAAUACUGGCCAGAGACCGAUAGCGCACAAGUAGAGUGAUCGAAAGAUGAAAAGCACUUUGGAAAGAGAGUCAAACAGCACGUGAAAUUGUUGAAAGGGAAGCGCUUGCAGCCAGACUUGCUUGCAGUUGCUCAUCCGGACUUUUGUCCGGUGCACUCUUCUGCAGGCAGGCCAGCAUCAGUUUGGGCGGUGGGAUAAAGGUCUCUGUCACGUACCUCUCUUCGGGGAGGCCUUAUAGGGGAGACGACAUACCACCAGCCUGGACUGAGGUCCGCGCAUUUGCUAGGAUGCUGGCGUAAUGGCUGUAAGCGGCCCGUCUUGAAACACGGACCAAGGAGUCUAACAUCUAUGCGAGUGUUUGGGUGUCAAGCCCGAACGCGUAAUGAAAGUGAACGGAGGUGGGAACCCGCAAGGGUGCACCAUCGACCGAUCCUGAUGUCUUCGGAAGGAUUUGAGUAAGAGCAUGGCUGUUGGGACCCGAAAGAUGGUGAACUAUGCUUGAAUAGGGUGAAGCCAGAGGAAACUCUGGUGGAGGCUCGCAGCGGUUCUGACGUGCAAAUCGAUCGUCAAAUUUGGGCAUAGGGGCGAAAGACUAAUCGAACUAUCUAGUAGCUGGUUCCUGCCGAAGUU
rnacentral:rRNA from 1 species